AACUAUCCUUUUGCGAAAUCUCAUAUGGAAAAGAAAAAGAGUUGACCAUUACUUCAUGACAGGAAAUGUAAAAAGGUAUACAUCUUAAGCCACAGGCCGCGAGUUAAUUGCACAAUGUAAUUACUGCACGUGAAGAGGACUCUUCCCGUCUUUGCACGAUCGUUUAUUUCAGGCCAUCAUUUUUCUUCUGUCAGCGGGUAUUUGCAACUUCUGCACUUGUCCUAAUCUCGCUUAAUUGCUAAUUAAAAAUUAGGAUCUCAUUUAACAUCGAAUCAUUAGAUUCGUAUUCUUCCCUUCGUUUCAAACAUUAAUGUCAAAUAUGACAGUCGUGAAAGUGUUAAUUGCAGAAGGUAAUCACGGUUCGGUUUAAGCGAAUCAAAAUCGAGACGUCUCGAUAUCGUGCCUUGAUUUGCAUAUUUCCGUGUGGAUCGCGUGCACUGUCGCGUCGCGUCGUGUCGCGUCGACAAAGAAGAAGAUUUCUCAAUCGAAGCAAGGCGUAUCGCGUGAAGACGACAAGAGUCUUGAAAAUCCGAUGCAUUGACAGGAUAAUUACACGCACGUAGGCUGCUGUCCGACCGUCCGCGUCCUUUACGUUUGUUCGUUCCUUCGCUCGUUAUAUAGGGAACAGAGAAAGAGAAAGAGAAAGAAUGAGAGAUAGGUACUCUUGGUAGCUCAGCAGCUACUGGUGGAUCAACCAGUGGCCACCCACGAUGUUGAUCGUCGAAGAUCGCUGGAUCCUCGCGCCGACCGCGACGUUCGCCAGUAUUUUCAUUUGCAUAAUGGAAAUUACGCGCCACGCCACGAGGUUGAACGUUUCCACGGAACGCGUUAAUUUACGAACAUUACGCGGCAAUCUGAUGAGUUUAUCUUCGCCGCGUCGUUCUCGGGAUCGAAGUAAAUGAUCAACGGAUAAACAGUAAGUGGUUUAAUAAAACAUUUUUUCUUACCUGCGAAUAUUUUAAUAAUAAAGUGAAGUUAACUAACGUCGGGUAGAAAUUUUGUAAGAAUAUUUCAUAGAAUCUAGAAAUUCCUACUGCUCAUUUCUUCGUUCAAAGAUCAUUAUUUCUCGCAUGGUUUGUUACCAAAGUUAAUUUCAAUAUGCAAUUUCUGCAGACAUUGUCGAGGCGCGUCAUUUGGUAGACAUCGACGGAUUAGCUGACGCUUUAUUACCUAUUGCAUUCACCGAUUGCUUUUUACGAAACAAAUCGCAAUGAAUCAACGUUACGCUCGUGGCGCGAGUCUGUUCCCGCUAAUAACUUAGCUUUAUCAUCGGAGGUGGGUGCACGGUUAUAAUGCGAGUAGGGAAAAGAAUUUAAUACGAAUUUAUCGCGACUAAUCUGACUAUUAACUCGGAACAUUACGAGACGCAAGUGGCCACUCGGAUGGGAACCGUGUCGUUCGCGUGAAGCGAAUGUUGGCAAAUGUUGUAGCCAAGAAAAGGGAAACGAGCGAAACCGUGGAUUAACGCUCUCUACAGUAUCUAAUAUAUCUACUUUUCAUAAUACCAUUCGCGUAUUAUUUGAAAAAUUUUUGCUGCUUCAACGAGAACAAAUCAAUAUUGUUCAAUAAGUUUUCUUAUAAUUAAUGUUUCAAGCACAACGCGUUGUCUUGGUCGACGCAACGCGCGCGUUAAAGUCAGAUUUAUUUCCGCGAGUUCUACGAACGAGCAUGGAUCGUGGGUCACGGAAGUCCAGUUGCUCGGUCCAGCUUCGAUAAUAUCGAUUAUUUAUUAAGAUUGGUCCGAUGACGAAUGCUCGAACAGCAUUACCUGUGGGACAGCGAAUAAAGCACGGUAGCACGGUCACUGUUCAAGGAAGCAAAGACGCGAUUUUAACGAACCGCUUAAAUCAAUACUGUCUUUAGCGACCAAUCGUUGGGGAGACAUUCCGCUCGGCUGAAUUAUGCCGAUUCGAAUUACUCGCAGAUCCUUGCCUGUCUUUUACUAUCCUUGGAGAAUACGUGGGCGAGCAAAAGAUCCACUGGAGAAAGUGAAAGCAUCAAGGUAUAUUCAACCAGGAAAAGGAACUUUAUCGUGUUUUUAUGUUAAUUAAUGAUGACUUGAAAAAAUAGAAAAAUUAUCACGAAAAACCGAGAUGACCGCAAACGAUUUCUAAACGAUGAUACAUUGGAUUCAUCAUCAAUUCACAGAAACAAAGACCUUACAAAAUGCAUAGGUGUUUUCUCCCAGUUCCCAUCGACUAUGAUGACUGAACGUCGGCCUAAAUUCUCGAAAGACUACCGAUCGGAGAAUUAAAAAGAAAAAACCGAGAUUACUCAUGAUCGUCGAGUGACCAACACUGAAACACGUGUAACCAAUUCGAACCCGAUGGUGUUCGUGUACAGGUUGGUGCGAAGCGUGAGAAGAAGAACACGGAACUAUUCAAGGAACGACAUAAAUUCGACCAGGAUCCUCGGUUCGGUUCGAUCUGGCCCAUCCACGCGGUAGGCCGAACCCACGAAUGGUCGUGUACCUUAGGAUCGCGGACAUCGACCACUCCACGCCCUAUAAAUACGCAUAAAUAUUCCCAUAAAUCCCGUGUAACGUCGCAUUACACGCGUUCGAAAACCUUAACAUUGCGACCUGGGCCCAUGGUGAAUCGAAGGAAAAGAAAAGAGCAAGAAGGGGGAUAGCAACGAGGAUUCAGCAAGCUGCACAGAGUCUGUAUAUCAUAUAAGGAAUAAAUUACGCUUAACGUACGCACUCGGUGACUUUAACUUCAGAUUUAUACACUCACGGCAUUCUCUGUAUUUCGAUGUAAUCGAACAUUUAGCCGUUUAGUGUUGCAAUUCAUGGCUCUCAUUGAUCGCCGUUCGAUUGACGAUCUUACGUUGGAUCAGGAAAAAAUUACGAAUCUUCGGUUAUUCUUCGAUAAAAGUUAAUAUAAUUUAACAUCGAAAUUUCUGACAUAUUAUAAAUUCCAAUUUUCUGAAUAUCUUAGUCUGGUAUACAUACAGCCAUGAUUCUUUCAUUUUGCAUGUCAGGUUACUUCAGUAGAGAUUAGGACGGUUAAAAAUGCACAGUAUGCAGCAAGAUUUCGGGUUGAUGCACGGAAUGCAAUGUCAGGAUGCAUCGUGGGUUUCGUUUCUUGUCAGACAUCUCGUUGCUCGUGAAACUGCAUCAGUUACGAAACAUCAUCUUCUUACGUGCAGUUUUGAAAAAGAGCCUCUAUAUGCUGUUUCAUAGAGCGCAGCCAUUUCAAGGAUGAUGUUGACGACGUAGAAAUUUGUUUCAGUGAAAGGAAAAUGUUCGUACAAAGAAAUUUGCGAUAGGAAGAUUGUAGUGUAGAAUUAAUUAACGUGGAAUUUAGCACUAUUCCUUCGGUUAUUAAUUCGCAAAGCAUUUCAUGAGAACGAGACUCAGAAGGACAGUUGUUUGACCGUUCUGUAGAAAUGACUCAUGUGAAUAACUCGGAGCAUCCUGAUUGCGAUCAGCUCGUUAAAGUAGCAGAUACGGAGAGUCCGAAAAUACGAUUCACCGCAGACGUGUAUACCAAGAAAAUGUGCGUAACAACCAUCGCAUAGCAUCGCAGUUUAAUGAAUUAUAAUAUACAUAAGUAGCAUUUUAAAACAUUAAAACUCUGAUUAUGAACACGGAUAAUUAAUUUUAUCAUCAACUCUAUUAACGAACCUUUAAUUGAAAAAUCGUGAAGCUUCUUAAAAAUGCACAACUCGAAAGUAACACCUUGUCGUAGAAGUUUCAACUUCUUUCGAUUCGUUGUAUAAAUAAUGUUAUCAGUCCCGUAAAUCAUUGGUCAUUCCUCGCAGCACGUGACGCGCGUUUCACACCUCUGUCAGCUGUGUCAUUAAGCAUAAUUAAACGCUAUCGUUUCGAGACGACGGAAAAUGAAAUGGUUACUCGAGGACAAGAUCUUUCGUAAGAGCAGAAAGGAUUCUCGAGUAGGCGAACUUGGAGCAUUUUUUACGAGUCUAUCAAGACCGACUCGCCGGACAGAUAGUACAGGUGUCGCUAAUUACACCGAUAACACCAUCCAACCUGUCCCUAUCAGUUACCGUCGUCAGCGAAAUUAAGUGCUUCGGAUUUUUUUCAUUAGUCGCGAUAGAUUUCGCAUGGUCCAGACAGCUUCCCUAUUCAUUUCAGAUAACUUUUGAAGAACAGGUUGAGUAAACGUUGAUACAGGUGUCGACGUUUUAACACGACGCGAUAGCGAUGCUUUAAUUUCUGUGUAAUGAAAAGGUGAUUUAAAUUUGUCUCUUGAUUUCUAGUUAGUUUCAUUGGAACAGGUUGUCUGAAAAUAUUAAGCGAGGGUUGGAUAAGUUGAACGAUAACGUUCUUUUUGUUAAGAAGAGAAUCAUUCAGAUUUACCGGAAUAUCGAGAAGAAAUUUUCGGUUGUCUAGUAAUCGAAAUACGCUCGUUUAUUAUCGAACCAGGAGGAGAUAUGUGCACAUCGAACCACAAAUUAACAUGAUUUUAUGGGUGAUGGGGAAAUAGAAGCGUUCUUCGUAGAACGAAGAGCUCGUUAACCCAGGUAUCUUCAGGAUCUGAUCUCCGGCCAGGUAAUACUGAAAAUAUCUCUGUAGAGAGGUCGUGACAAGUGGAGAGGUGGCGAAAAUUUCAACCCUGGCGCCUGAAGAUUUAUUGAACGGCUUCUCCCAUUUACGUUUUUCUCAGUAUGUGUGUUUUCAACACACGACCACCUGACAAAGGGAUACGAUACGGUGGUUCUGAAAAGAACGGUGAAAAACAAAAAGAUGUAGGUGUAAAUAUAGAUUUUAUUUUUAAAAUAUCUUUUCUGAUUCGACUUAUGACGUUCAAAAUUAAGGACUAUGAUUACGAUGGAUUAAUUAGAUUUCACGGUUAAUCAGAGUAAUCGUUCGAGCACGCAACAGAGUCCAUCGAAAUGGACGAUGAUAAUUAUAAUGAGAGCGAAGAUUACAGUGAUUAUGUAGACGCAGGAGCAUUCUUCGAUGAAAAUGGUAAUUAGGAUAAGCAGCUCGCUCUUUACUCGACAAAGUCGUUUGAAUACAUUAAAAGGACUUUUGUCACCUGCUAUCUGUCAUUCUCGACACGUUUUUAGCUUGUAAGAAAAGAAAAUACUUUCGCUGUGCUCGUUGCUUCUCGCCUUCUUUCACGAACUGCAGUAACUCGUCGUUUACUUAAUCUUUGUUCUGAAGUCCUCGAAAUAACUUAAUUUUUUAAAAAGAUAUUUUUAAUUCCAAUAGAAGAUGUAACUCUCAAGUCUCGUUAUCUUCGUUUAAUUUCAACCUAAUUAUCUCUUAACUUGAAUUAUUAGAUUUCUUAUGAUUUUAAAGUGUUAAAAUAAAUCACACGAAUGAUGGAUAAUUCUUUUUCGAACAGCUUCAUCCAAUUAACGUCAGCAAACGUUAACUGUGCUCUAUUUGAGGGAGAACAGAUUCACGGUUCUUCGUGCAAGAUCCCUUCAAGAGUUCCGGAUAAAGCUGCACAGUGAAUUUUAGCACGAAUCACAGGAACUGCAAGCAACGAGAAGCCCCGUCAAUGUAAGUAUGUGACAUCUUCCGUUUCCGAUCCGUCGUAACAAAGCCGCACGCUCCGAAUAAAAGGUGAACAAACGAAAUAACACGUCGAACAUUUAGAAAUUGUAGUGUUUGCACGGCUUAACUGGUCCGGCGAGUGUUUGUAAUCGCCAAAUACUCGAGACUCGUUCCGUUUAACGGUGACUAAGCGCCGAAGAAGCGUUCACCAAUGGACCUGUCCGCACUCUGGCAUCUCCUCGUAUGCCAACAAAAAUUUGUCAUCUUACGAGGUAACAAUGUUACUUUCCAUAAGAGCGAAGUUGAAAUUCAUUAUUGAAAGCUUCAAAGGAUUCGCAAAGACGAAUCUCCGUAACGAUCAGCUUAUCACAGGAGAGCAACGAAUCGUUAUCAAACGGAUACUAAUUAAAAAGUACGACUAAUCAGUUUAAUUAUUGACACCUUUAUGCGCAUUUUACGGCGAAGCUUUCUGGCUGAUCAAAGAUAUCCUGCUCACGCGACGUAUUAUCAGGAAAGAUUCGUUCACGCGAGGAUAUUCUAUUGUUCUGGUGCGACGGGGGCUGGUAACGAUUUCGUGGCGAGGAUUUAUCGAUCGUCUCAUCAUCGCCGCGUUAAAUGUCUUUGCCGAUCGCUGCGUCAAGAUCGUUGGAUCGCGAGGAGAGCGUGAUCGAUCGUUCGUUCACGAUCGCGAGAAUCUUCGUUUCGCUGGCCACGUUCUGUUUCUCUUUCCAUCGGUACCAACACCUUAACGAACGAGGAAUUCCUUUUGUACCCCUGCCGUGCUACCGGUUCUUAUUGUCCCACACCUCGCUUUUAUUCUUCCCUUUUGUCAAGGUUUUUUCGAUGUUGUAGCCGGUCGCGCUUUCAUACGCGUCGUUUUAUUUCAGCAAGGAAAUUUGUAUGCCAGCUGGUCCCAGCAUGAAUGGCGACAGGACACUUUUAAACUCACCACUCGAUGCACUGCUUCAUGCUCGAUCCGACGAGUAUAACAGCAUCGUUCACCUGCCAGACUUGCCGACUCGUGUUCAUCCCGUUCAGAUCAUUAUCGGCAUUGCAAUUAAAAUUUUAUGAUCGAUUAUUCCUGUCUUUCGGAUAGACACUUGGAUGGGACAAGGUAGACACUUGGAGGUAGACACUUGCCAAGAACGACACCCUCGAAAGUCACCUUCCUUCCACCUCGAUAACACCAAAAAAUUUUUCUCAAAGAUCAAGUAUCAGAUUGGUUGACGAAGAAGUUUCGAUAGAGAAACCGCGAUCGAAUCGAUGCAGAGGGUAACUGUGCAAGGUGUGCGCUGUAUAACCCGGUGUUCAAGGCAACCACCACCCAUCAACCGCGAGUACUCGCAGCAGCGACACGCGGAGUGACAAGCACACCACCACCACCAACUAUGACCACCACCACCACCAGCACCACUACCACCGGUAACACCAGCACCAGUAGCAACAGCAGCGUCAGACGGGACACGGUGAAGAGUAAAAGUUGCUAUUGCUACCGUUAUGGACCUCGGAGCGCUACUUGCUGGAUGAGAGGAUCGAACAUUUCAUGCUGAUCUCUUUGCCGAUUGAAGGUAAUUAAAUAAUGGAAUAACAGUGGUAUACUAAAUAUGUAUAUUACAUCGGAAUUCAAAUAUCAAUUCAGAAAUUAAAUCUAUAUAUGAAUUUGGAUAUCAGAUAACCACCAAGUAAAAUGAUAGAAUACGCACCA